UACGGAGGGUGCAAACGUUGCUCGGAAUUAUUGGGCGUAAAGCGCACGUAGGCGGCCAACUAAGUCGGGUGUGAAAGCCCAGGGCUCAACCCUGGAAGUGCACUCGAAACUGAUUGGCUUGAAUAUGGAAGAGGGUCGCGGAAUUCCCGGUGUAGAGGUGAAAUUCGUAGAUAUCGGGAGGAACACCAGUGGCGAAGGCGGCGACCUGGGCCAAUAUUGACGCUGAGGUGCGAAAGCGUGGGGAGCAAACAGG
rnacentral:rRNA from 1 species